UAUGAUGCCAGUUUUUAUAACAGCGGAAUAUUGGCUUCUUCUUCGACUCCAACUGUGAACAGCAGUAAAUCCCGUGCACGCGCGAGUGUGUGUGGUUUUUUUUUAAAAAAUUAUUUUAAUUUUUCAGAAUUAUUUGUAAUUUGGUUUCCACGUUACUUCUGAACGCCGAGAAACCGCCGAGCGAGACGCAAAGCCUACGUUCAAUGCAGUUGGAACAUGUCCUAUGUUCCCUUUCAAGGCUGGGGGCGUGAGGGAGCGAGUGCGAGCAAGCGAGCGGGAGUGGGUGUUUCGGAAGUGACAUCUCUUGGGCAGUAACCUUGUUUCCUGUGUGGUGGAGUUGGGGGCGGAUUCAAGGCGCUAGCAGCGCAGCAACAGUGACGCCGUGUGGACGCUUUGGGUGAGCAAUGGGGAACCCGGGACGUGCCGCGCGAGGGCUGGGUGAAUGAUCUAAUAGGUUUGGCUCUAAGUUGACACAAACAUCUGCAGUGGCAGAAGAGCGGAGUAACGCCCUGUGAAGGACUUGUGACCUGUGCAGGAUGUCAGCCUCUCACCCUAUCACAACUGGGAUGGGCUCCAGCACCUACAACUGUCAAUUGGAUGGAUACAAAAUGGAUGGAUGGACACAGAGAGAGUAAAUUACUGCAUUAUAACAAUGAAUCAGAGAAGCCUGAUGUUCUACUAGUUCUGAAGAUUCUCACCUGCAAUGCAUGAGCUUGUGUGUAAGCUUGAUAUUUGCUGGUUACAUACAGUGAAAUAGUUCAUUGAUAAUGUAUCAUCUAUUAAAACAAAGUUAAUGAUAUAAUAUAUUGAGCAUAAUAAUCUUUUUCUGUAGAAAACUUUUAUAUAUAGAUAUAGAGAUAGAUAGAUAUCUCUGAAUAAUUGUAUAUAAUGACGUAUUUUUAAAAAGCAAUGCUUUUAGAUAUAUGUAGUUAAAUAUAGAUUAAUGCAGCAGUCCCCAACUCUGUUUUAUUUGUACACACACACACACACA
ensembl:lncRNA